AAACGAAGACUGCUUGCUAGAAUUGAGGGCAUCCAAAGAUCACAAGCCACUAAUUUCAACCACAACCUGCAAAUGCUAGAAAGAGAUUUGAUUAGACAGUAUACUACCACCUUGUUUCAAGAGGAGGUCCACUGGCUUCAAAAAUCUAGAACUAAGCACAUUACUAUGGGAGAUAGAAACACUAUAUCUUUUCACAUCUCUUCCAUCACUAAGAGAAGGAAACUAAAAAUUAAUGUGCUUAAAGAUGAUGAGGGAAAUUGGGUUUCUGGUAUUGAGGGAGUCAAAAGAAUUAUUGUGGACUAUUUCAAAGAGUUCUUUAGGGGAGAAGAUAACCAAAAUUUGGAGGAUUGGAAUGAUAUUUUCAUUGCCAAAUUCACUACAGAGGAUAAUGAUGGCAUGCUUAGAGACCUCUAACUAAUUUUGAAAUCUGGAAAGCUGCCAAAGACAUUAAAAGCUAUAAGGCUCCUGGUAAAGAUGGUAUUCAAGCUUUUUUUAAUUUUUUUUUAAUUUUUUAAUUUUUAAUUUUGUUUUUUAUCACAAGUAUUGGAAUAUUGUGGGAAAAUCUGUUUGUGAAUUUGUCAGAAAUUGUUUUCUCAAAAGAGAGAUUCCCAAAGACGUGAAUGAGACACUAAUUGUUCUUAUACCCAAAAUGAGUAACCCUAAUAACAUUAAGCAAUUCAGACCCAUCAGUCUUUGUAACAUUACCUAUAAGAUCAUCACUAAACUGAUUGUGAGCAGAAUUAGGCCUCUUUUGGAUAGUAUUGUUAGCCCAAACCAAAGUAGUUUUAUUCCUGGAAGAACUACUACUGACAAUAUCAUCAUAACGUAAGAAAUCAUCAAUACACCGAAUCUUAGGAAAGGGAAAGUAGGUGGAAUGGUCUUUAAAAUUGAUUGGGAAAAAGCCUAUAACAGAUUAUCCUGGAAUUUCAUAAAAGACACAGUUAUCGAAUUUAAUAUUGAUAAUGUUUGGAUUGAAUUGAUCAUGAGCUAUGUAGCAAAUGGGCAUUCAUUUGUACUUUGGAACAGGAAGGUACUUGAUGGCAUCAAUAAUGGGAGGGGAUUGAGACAAUGAGACCCCCUUAUCUCCUUACAUCUUUGUACUUUGCAUGGAGAGAUUGUUUAACAUGACCAAUACUAACGUUAGAGUUGGUGUUUGGAAGCGAAUUAAAACCUUGUUUUAAUUUGGCAACAGGAAGUUCCUUAGCUUUCAGGUUGAUAACUUGGAAUUUCUGAGGGAAAUGAGGAUCAACCCAAUAAAGGUUGCCAAAGCAUUAGUGGAAGUGUUUGCUGAAAUGAUUUUGAUGAAUAUGGGUGCAAGGUGUUAUGCCAGUUCAUUGAUAGAGUGGAGAAACACCCGAGCAAGAAAAUUGAUGAGAAGAUUGGCCAGUUCUGGAUUGUAUUUUUUUCAUAAAAGAACUUUUUUCAAGUUUUUAGUUGUAAUAACUUUUACAUGUAGCUCAAAUUUUGAGACUCAAAUAGAAUGUUCAAUAAAACUAUAAUGCUAUACUGUCUGAAUUCUUGUCAUUGUUA